AGUAGUGCGACUGAAACGGGAGGAGCCCAGCGCAUAAGCUCGAUCGAGCGGUGUUGCUAAGGAUCUCCCCUACUGGCGAUGUGUGUGUGUCACUCAUUUAAGUUGAAGCUGUAUCGAUGAAUGCCCUAGCGGGUGUGAGACCACUGACAAGAGGCGCGGAGAAUGGUCAACCGCAGAGUACGCCGACGCCCAGGGGUGCCGGUUGAGUCGGGUUGCCUGAAACGGCAGCCUAAAGAAGGUGGUAAACUCCAUCUAAGGCUAAAUACUCGCACGAGA
rnacentral:rRNA from 1 species